UGUAGGUUUAUGUAAAAGUUGUCAUUAACUUGACAUUUAUGAAGAAGCUUGUGCUCAGGUAGAAGCAGUAUACUUCUUGUCAUCAUGUUAGUUUCACAGAUAAAACCCUAACAGCUAAAUUCUGUAAUUACUCCUUAUUAUGCCAGUAUACUUACAAAAGAAAGUCACUUGCAUGAAAGCACUGGAUAUAUAUGCCAUUCAAGCAGCUGGUAUAAAAUCUCCCAAUAAGUGCAGAUAGUUCUGAAUCUGUAAUAUCUUUUCUUCUGAUAACUAUUUUGCAAAGCAAGAAUCAUCAGUGUCUGUUUUAUGUCUUGCUAAGUUUGAGACAACGUGGUGCUAACACUAGAGGUAUAGUAACGGGUAUUAUAAAAUUCCAAAGCUUUCUAAAUGCUAUAUUUUUAUAUCAGAUUAAAACUCAGUCUUUCUCAUAUAGUGGUUCUAAUGUUUCUUAGAAAUAAAUGUCUGUUGAUUUAGACUGUUUCUGAAGUGGGAGGAAAUUCUCUGGAAAGAGGAAAAGCAUGAACUUUGUUUUCAUGUAUCACAUCAACCUUCCAGACCAAUUUGCUGUUUUGCAGAUAACUUGCCUGUACUCUAUCUAGCUUUACUAUCAGGGUAAUUGGGACAGACAGACUUUCAGCUGAGAUGACUCUUUGUAGCUCCACUGAGCACUGAAAUUUGGUCCUAUGCCAGUUUACAUCAACUUGAAGUUAUGGCCUUCAGGUGAUGAGUUGUUAGUGGCAACUUGUUCCCAUGGUACAAGGAGUUCUGACCAUUAGCAGAACCUUUACUGCUAUUGACUGGUAUUAUAUUUCCAAAAUGAUAUUCCUGCUGCAACAUUAGUUAGUGUAAAUCAUUUGAAAUAGCCAUAUAAACAUGUCUGGGGUGGUAUGUACUGGAAACCUAAUCGAUAUGGUGUCACAUUAAACAGUGAGGUACAGAGGAGUAAAGAGUAUCUAAUUAUAAGGAAAAGAUAUAUAAUUCUGUGCAAAUAUGUGGAAAUGUACGGUGACUGUCACAUAAAUAACCCAACUGCAGAAAAAAAUGGUAGUAUUAUUUCCACCUUGCUGCAGUGGCCAUGGAGCUGGCCUAAUUUUCACCUCUCUAUUUGUCUGCCAGCUUGUUAGACUUGUAGCCUAUUGAUGUUCUGUUGUUGUUGCUUUGUUGCUCGAUUCUGUUUUGGUUUUACACAUUUUUUGCAUUUUUUUUUGUAUUUAUCAGAGGCCAUUUGUGAGUCCAGCACCUGAUCUAUCUGCCUUUCUCACUUAACCUGGUUGUCUUGUACCAUCUGCAGAAAUGCAAGAGAAGGGGUUAUUAAUAUUCUUCCUAGAGGCUUUGGAUGUGCUCCAGUAUUUGAUGAGAAAUCUGCACCUCGGGAAGAGCAUAUGAGAAUUUAAAAACCAGUACAAAACACAGCAGAGAUAAACUGGUUGACAACUAAAUGUUGUCCAUUACUGCCCUUGUUAAAUCAGUGUCAUACAUGUACAACAGCUAAUGAUGGAUUAAAGGCCUGUAAAUUCUUUUCCCCUCUCUUGAGUCUAUCCUUGUACUGAAUCCAUUUUUAUACUCAUUAUGAAACCACAUUUUGUGGUUGAGCAGCUGAAUUCAAAAUGCUCCAGUCUGCAACAGGUGUAUGGCAGAAACUAAUAACCCUGGCCACUGCUAAUAAAAUAUAGUUGUAAAAUAAUUUGCUUUUCAGGAAAGAGACACAAUUAACUGCAUGCUCAUGUGUGUGCUCUCAUACAUUAACAGUGCAUGGUUGUGAAGUAAAAGAAUGAUCAAAAAUGCGAUGUUCUGAAUGUCUGCAAAUUACUUUUUGACUAGCUUGUUCUUCCUGUUUAACAUAUCCCUCUGAACAUCAAGUCUUCUGGAGUGGUGCAUGAGGAGGAAAAGAGGAAAAUAAAUUAAAACAAGUUUUUCUGUGA